AGGUCAUUUCAAAGAGGGCUUGUGUGUAUUGAACAGACAGCUCUUAACGCAAUGGCCUGACAUCAAAAUCCUCUGCAGGAUGUCAAGGGUACUUGGUGUGCUCUGGUCUAUACCAGAGGAGACAUA
rnacentral:snoRNA from 11 species